AGUAACGCGUGAGGAACCUGCCUUCCAGAGGGGGACAACAGUUGGAAACGACUGCUAAUACCGCAUGACACAUUUGAAUCGCAUGGUUUGAAUGUCAAAGAUUUAUCGCUGGAAGAUGGCCUCGCGUCUGAUUAGCUAGUUGGUAGGGUAACGGCCUACCAAGGCGACGAUCAGUAGCCGGACUGAGAGGUUGACCGGCCACAUUGGGACUGAGAUACGGCCCAGACUCCUACGGGAGGCAGCAG
rnacentral:rRNA from 1 species